CCUACGGGGGGCGGCAGUGAGGAAUAUUGGGCAAUGGGCGAAAGCCUGACCCAGCGACGCCGCGUGAAGGAUGAAGGUCUUCGGAUUGUAAACUUCUUUGAUCAGGGAAGAAAGAAAUGACGGUACCUGAAAAACAAGCCACGGCUAACUACGUGCCAGCAGCCCCGGUC
rnacentral:rRNA from 1 species